UCAUAAUUCGAUGGAAAAGUAAUAUGGGACCUGUCAAUAGGAGGAUGUACGAUUGCUUAUUGUGAUUUUGCAAAUUGGGCUUGUUUUUGUGAUGCGAUUUCAUCAGAAUGUAAGCCUAGAUGAUAUGAGAUAAAUGGUGGUAGUUGACGAUUACUGGUGUCACUAGAAAUGGUUUCUCAAUUUGUGAAGGUGUUGAAAACGAGGCUGCUUUUGACAAAUUUAUUCCUUCGAAAUAGUUGUUUGGCUUGAUUUUUUGUUGGAGUGUGUUAGCGGUGUGAUAUCAUUGGCCUAGGGGUAUUUUUCCAGCAGCUUUGGUAGCCAGUCGGCGAUGGGUGGGACAUUUUUUUGCUUUGGCUUUUCUUUUCUUUUUUCGAAAUUAUUUUUGUUAUAUUUAUAUGGAAAUAUAUUAAGUUUACUAUUUUGCCCUCAUAUAGAAAUAAUUAGAAUAUGGUCAAAAUUAAUUUUUUAGGUCAAUUGAUGGUACUUUGGAUGGAAACCGUCCAACCACAGCGAUUGAAGGUUUGAGAAAAGUUUGUUAGUA
rnacentral:lncRNA from 1 species